GGGAUCUUGUUAAACUCCAGAUUUUGAUUCAGCAGAUCUGGGGUGGGAUCAGAGAUUCUGCAUUUCUAACAAGUUC
rnacentral:miRNA from 10 species